rnacentral:ncRNA from 1 species
GAAAAAAAUGGAAACAAAGUCUUUGUAAAUAGGGAAGGGUGGAGGGGGUGAAGGGAGGGCAGGGGAAUGGGGAAAAAAUAAGAACCAAGAUACAUCAUGUAAAGGUACAAGAUCCCCAUGAUGAAUAUAACUGUACUGUAUACCUAAAAUGUACCGAUAAACUAGAUGGAAAAAAAGAACAAUUUGACACAAUGUGAUUUGUGCCCAGUGCUCUGAAUGCCAAACAAAUUCAGUGAAGCCCAGAUAAACAUCAGGAGUAACUAUGACCCUGUAACUGAACUCAGGUCCCGAGCCCUAUGUUCAAGCACCACCUGUGACCGACCUACCAGCCAGCCUUGUUCUGAGACCUAGACCUGCUACUUUAUUCUCCCUGAUCCAGGCAUGAACGAGGAUAAAUGACAGAGACACAGAGUCAGCUUAACAUGCAGGUAGCCAGGGGUCUUGUUCCUGCUAGGAGACAGGAGCACCCCACACACCCCUUGUGUACCUCAUCUUGCCUUUAUUCACCCAAAUUCGGGUACAAGCAAUCAGAAUAACACAAAAUGCUUCUACUUUCCAAUGUCCAUUAAUACAUAUUCUGGUAAACAACUGAACCUCAGCUGUCUUAAAUUUUCCCUAGAACCUGCAAUAUGCAGUCACCCCUGAGGGCAGCCUUUCUCCUUUAUGCUCACAGAGGAGGCCAAUGAGUCCUUAAUUCUCCUCUGGUCUCCAACAUGAUACUUAAGGUAGCUAAAUGCCUUGUCACCUAAUUGGUGAUGUACAUGAAUGGAUGAAUAAGAGUUCCACUGUCCCUAGCUACUGUCUAAAUGACAGUCAAGGGCAGGCUUGCCGGU